UCCACCAUGGAGGGGGCUCUGACCUGGGUUUUCCUUGUGGCCAUUUUACAAGGUGUGCAGUGUGAGGUGCAGCUGGUGGAGUCUGGGGGAGGCUUGGUGCAGCCUGGGGGGUCUCUGAGACUCUCCUGUGCAGCCUCCGGAUUCGACUUCAGUAGUUACUACAUGAGCUGGCUCCGCCAGGCUCCAGGGCAGACGCCUGAGUGGCUCUCAUACAUCAGUAGUGAUAGUAGUUACAUAAGGUAUGCAGAAUCCGUGAAGGGCCACUUCACCACCUCCAGAGACAACACUUCCAAGGACCUGCAGAUACAGUGUGAACUACAGCACGUAGUCAGUGCGUCAUGGUGUGCAGUGGAGGUGCAGCUGGUAGAGUCUGGGGGAGGCUUGGUGCAGCCUGGGGGGUCCCUGAGACUCUCCUCUGCAGUCUCUGGAUUCACCUUCAGUAAUUCCUGGAUGAGCUGGAGCCGCCAGGCUCCUGGGAAG